rnacentral:lncRNA from 1 species
CUUGAUUAAAAACUGAGAUAUAAAACCAAUAAUUUGUGAAGAGGCUAGAGAAGAAUCCGAAGGGAAGUUACAGUGCAAGAGUCCAAGAUAUUUUUCCAAGAUAUAGAAGUAGAAAAAUGACGGUAAGCGGCUGGUCAUACCCACAUUCAGAUGGAGCAGCAUGGCUUUGGUUUAGCAUCAGUGUUAAACAGCAGUGAUGUAGUUCUGGGAAGGAAGUAUUUUUGGUAGGUUGCUGCUCACAAGAUGGACACACACCUGCAUUUGAAAGCAAAGGAGAAUGAUCCUCCAGAUAUUUCAAAAUAUGGAGAAAGAAUACAACUGAUCUCAAAACACUGCACUAAGAGUCCAGAGAAAGAACUGUAUCCACUUCCUAGCUUUACCAUGG